CUACCUUUUCGUGGGGGAUAACGUAGGGAAACUUACGCUAAUACCGCAUACGACCUACGGGUGAAAGUGGGGGACCGCAAGGCCUCACGCGAUUAGAUGAGCCGAUGUCCGAUUAGCUAGUUGGCGGGGUAAUGGCCCACCAAGGCGACGAUCGGUAGCUGGUCUGAGAGGAUGAUCAGCCACACUGGAACUGAGACACGGUCCAGACUCCUACGGGAGGCAGCAGUGGGGAAUAUUGGACAAUGGGCGCAAGCCUGAUCCAGCCAUACCGCGUGGGUGAAGAAGGCCUUCGGGUUGUAAAGCCCUUUUGUUGGGAAAGAAAUCCUAUCGGUUAAUAACCGGUGGGGAUGACGGUACCCAAAGAAUAAGCACCGGCUAACUUCGUGCCAGCAGCCGCGGUAAUACGAAGGGUGCAAGCGUUACUCGGAAUUACUGGGCGUAAAGCGUGCGUAGGUGGUGGUUUAAGUCUGCUGUGAAAGCCCUGGGCUCAACCUGGGAAUUGCAGUGGAUACUGGAUUACUAGAGUGUGGUAGAGGGAUGCGGAAUUUCUGGUGUAGCAGUGAAAUGCGUAGAGAUCAGAAGGAACAUNCCGUGGCGAAGGCGGCAUNCCUGGGCCAACACUGACACUGAGGCACGAAAGCGUGGGGAGCA
rnacentral:rRNA from 1 species